CAGGGCCGUCAUGCAGGAGAACUAUGAGAAUGUGACCUCGCUGGGGUUGCCGAUUUCCAAAGCAGAUGUGAUCUCCCAGCUGGGAAAAGGUGAAGAGCCGUGGAUCCCGGAGCUCCAGGGCUCCAAGGAAAGACAGAGUCUGCGAGGCGUCUGCAUGGGUGCUGGAAUGCUGGGUGAGAACGCAGUGCAGAGCCCGCAGC